UCUGGAAACUNUCUGACUUGAGUGCAGAAGGGGAGAGUGGAAUUCCAUGUGUAGCGGUGAAAUGCGUAGAUAUAUGGAGGAACACCAGUGGCGAAAGCGGCUCUCUGGUCUGUCACUGACGCUGAGGCUCGAAAGCGUGGGUAGCGAACAGGAUUAGAUACCCUGGUAGUNCACGCCGUAAACGAUAAGUGCUAGGUGUUAGGCCCUUUCCGGGGCUUAGUGCCGGAGCUAACGCAAUAAGCACUCCGCCUGGGGAGUACGACCGCAAGGUUGAAACUCAAAGGAAUUGACGGGGGCCCGCACAAGCGGUGGAGCAUGUGGUUUAAUUCGAAGCAACGCGAAGAACCUUACCAGGUCUUGACAUCCCGAUGCUAUUCUUAGAGAUAGGAAGUUACUUCGGUACAUCGGAGACAGGUGGUGCAUGGUUGUCGUCAGCUCGUGUCGUGAGAUGUUGGGUUAAGUCCCGCAACGAGCGCAACCCUUAUUGUUAGUUGCCAUCAUUAAGUUGGGCACUCUAGCGAGACUGCCGGUAAUAAACCGGAGGAAGGUGGGGAUGACGUCAAAUCAUCAUGCCCCUUAUGACCUGGGCUACACACGUGCUACAAUGGUCGGUACAACGAGUUGCGAGCCGGUGACGGCAAGCUAAUCUCUGAAAGCCGAUCUCAGUUCGGAUUGGAGGCUGCAACUCGCCUCCAUGAAGUCGGAAUCGCUAGUAAUCGCGGAUCAGCACGCCGCGGUGAAUACGUUCCCGGGCCUUGUACACACCGCCCGUCACACCACGAGAGUUUGUAACACCCGAAGUCGGUGAGGUAACCUUUUAGGGNCCA
rnacentral:rRNA from 1 species